rnacentral:rRNA from 1 species
GAUGAACGCUGGCGGCGUGCCUAAUACAUGCAAGUCGAGCGAACGGACGAGAAGCUUGCUUCUCUGAUGUUAGCGGCGGACGGGUGAGUAACACGUGGAUAACCUACCUAUAAGACUGGGAUAACUUCGGGAAACCGGAGCUAAUACCGGAUAAUAUUUUGAACCGCAUGGUUCAAAAGUGAAAGACGGUCUUGCUGUCACUUAUAGAUGGAUCCGCGCUGCAUUAGCUAGUUGGUAAGGUAACGGCUUACCAAGGCAACGAUGCAUAGCCGACCUGAGAGGGUGAUCGGCCACACAGGAACUGAGACACGGUCCAGACACCGACGGGAGGCAGCAGUAGGGAAUCUACCGCAAUGGGCGAAAGCCUGACGGAGCAACGCAGCGUGAGUGAUGAAGGUCUUCGGAUCGUAAAACGCUGUUAUUAGGGAAGAACAUAUGUGUAAGUAACUGUGCACAUCUUGACGGUACCGAAUCAGAAAGCCACGGCUAACUACGG